AUCCUGUGAAGCCCUGCUCUGGUAGGUGCCCAGGGAUACUGGGAUGUUGGACCCUUCUGCAGUGAACUUUCUCAACUGCCUAUUGCCACAGAAGCCCAUCACCUCCAAUGUGGCUAGGAAAGGUAGACCUCUCAGUUGGAGGAGCAUCUCUACCUGACUCCCUCCCUCUGCAAGGGUGGGUUGACACCAGCAAUAAGUGCAAGAUUCACAGCAGAUCCCAGCUGCCCCGGGCCAGAGCUGGACCUGUCUUCUGGACCCUGAAUAUGUGCCCGGGAGUGACCAAGGAAGACCCUGAGGCCCAGCAGACCGACCCUGGUUGGUCCCACCAUACUGCUCUGGUCCUGAACGAGACACAGGGUGACUGGCAGAGCAGUGGACACACCCAUUGGGGUCCUGGCUCUGCUGCUAAGAGCUGUGAGGUGCUACUCAGGCUCCCAAGCUGCCCGACAAUCCACAUUCGGCUGUUGCAAGCAUCAGAUGAGAAGAUGAAAUGAAAGCAUGCUGAGCAGGAGAUAUUGAUACAGAGGAUCAAAGAGAACAUUUGCCCAAAGUCAGAUAGGAAGGGGUUGAAGCCGAUUUCAUCUUGUUUAUCUGACUACAAGAUUGUCUACCACCACCACCCCAGUACCCCCUGCCCCAGUACUGGGAAUCGCUAAAAAGUUGGAUCUGUCAGGACAAAUAAGUUGUGCCACCAUUUCGAGCUUUGGGGAGAAAGGAGCCAGCAGGUUUUCUGUUUUGGGGAAUGGUCAACACCCCUGGGUUGCCCUCUUGGACACAGCGUAUGGGGCGCUCAG